CGGGUUGUAAAGCACUUUCAGUAGGGAGGAAGGUAGUGUAGUUAACACCUGCAUUAUUUGACGUUACCUACAGAAGAAGCACCGGCUAACUCCGUGCCAGCAGCCGCGGUAAUACGGAGGGUGCGAGCGUUAAUCGGAAUUACUGGGCGUAAAGCGCAUGCAGGCGGCCUGUUAAGUCAGAUGUGAAAGACCCGGGGCGUUAACCUCGGAAUUGCAUUUGUAAACUAGGCAGGCUAGAGUCUUGUAGAGGGGGGUAGGAAUUUCAGGUGUAGCGGUGAAAUGCGUAGAGAUCUGAAGGAAUACCAGUGGCGAAGGCGGCCCCCUCGGACAAAGACUGACGCUCAGAUGCGAAAGCGUGGGGAGCAAACAGGAUUAGAUACCCUGGUAG
rnacentral:rRNA from 1 species